CGCGGUCCCGCCGAGCCGGGCGGGCGCGCGCGGAGUGUCCCCGGCCCUGGGGCCGAGCGGGGCUGUGAGAGGGGUGGUGAGGAGCGGUGAGGAGCUGUGAGGGGCGGUGAGGGGCCGUGAGGAGCUGUGAGGAGCUGUAAGGGGCGGAAACUGCGGCAGAGACAAUGUGUUCACAUGGAGAAAAAGAAGCUGGGGAUUGACAGGCUUUGGAGAAGCAAGAGCAGGCACAGGGAGAGGGACCAGACUCUCAGAGUUUCUCUCCUUAAAUGUGAACCAUUAUUGGAGCUGAACAUACUGUUUAGCCAGACAGUUGUUCUCAGUGUUCUGAAAGGAAUAAUUGAAGGCUCUCUCCGAACUUCUGUCGUGAUGCUCAGCGGGGCCUUAUUGAGAGUGACAAAGGAAAGUUCUGGGAGAGGCUAUGGACCCUAGCAGCUGCUGCAGCAGUCUGAAGCUGAGUUCAAAAUUUGGCUGAUUUUCCACUGUUGUGAUGGUUCCUCAGCAGGUCAUGUCUGUGCUCUGCAGCGAGGCCCUGUAGCUCAGCACGAUGGAGUCCGGGGUGAAGACAACAGAUUUGGUUAAAACAUCCCUCCUCUGAAACCUCAGCACUGGUAACAGCCUGGCAGAGCCCCUCAUGGUGUCACCAGCUUCUCUGCACAGCUCCCGCCCAGCUCCCAUGUGAUGAGCUGUGCCCUUCCCUCAGUUUAUUGCUUUGGCAUGCUGCACCCACCCUUGCUCCAGCGAUCUCAGUGUUGGCCACCAUGGGCUUCCCACACACCAUCCUGCUCCUGCUGCUGCCUGCAUCCUGCCUGGACCCUGCCUGGACCCUGCCUGUGGGCUGGCACCAUGUUCUUCCUCCCAGGCCCCUCCGAUGACACUGUGCUGGCACAGCCCCACUGCCUGGCACAGCAUGGGGAGGUGAUCCCGGCUGGACAUACAGCUCCAUGAUGUCCUCUGCUUGUCCAGAAGAGCUGUGAGAAGCUUGAGCCCAGAGGAGAACCCAGGGGUAGGGGGAGCAGGAGAAGGGAGGAGGGGGACUUUUCCCUCGUAAUUUCAAUAAACUAAAUGAAAGGGGUGGAAAAUUGGUAUUUCAUGCAAACCUUGGUGAGGGUUAAACCACUUCCAGAUGCUGUCUAAGAAGGUUUUGCUCCAACCUGAUCUGUUGCAGAUAAAGCCAUAGACACUCCUGCCAGAUAUUUAUUACAGAGCAGUGGAGUUUCCAAGCAGUGGCGUGAUCCAGGUGGCAUUUUGUGCCAUGCUGUCCCUUAGAGGGAGCAGAGACCACUCAGACAUGUUCCUCCCAAGGACAGCACUGAGCAGCCCCUGGUGCAGACAAGCUGGGGUAGGUGGCCGGGGUGGUGACAGUCCCGUGGGGGACUGGGGAGUGGCAGAUGCUAACAUGAGGGACCCCUUGUCCCUAGACACCACUCUGGCUUUACCCCCUUGCACCAUCCCUUUUCAGCAGGACCAUCCCCAGCUUUUCCCUCUGCUCCCAGUCUGACCUGCUCCAACCCCUCUGGGCUCUGCUCACCUCGGUGGCACCCAGUGGGCAGGGUGAGAAGACCUGGGAGGGUGAUCAGAGGUGACAGAGACAGACAGGUGGCUUUCCUUCCCAUAACAUGGGAGAGCAGGUGCUCCCUUGGUCAUGGCCCUGAGUGAGGUCCAGGGCUGGCUCAGCAAAACCCUGCAGCUCCCAACCCCACAGGCACCUUGUGCCCACCCCAGCAACCCCAGGAUGGAUCUUGCCACUGCCUGUGGCUGAUGCACAGGGUCAUUUUAAAGCUGGAGAAACUGAGGCAUAGUCAGGCCAAGAAUAGAAGAUGAGCUGACUGCACUUCUGGGGCUGCUGCUCUGCUGCACGUGCAGAAGACACGAGGGUCCCACGGCUGAAGCGCAGCUUUGCCGUGGCCGGCAGUGGGUCCGGCAGCGAGUCCCGCAGAGGGUGCAGCACACCUGCCCGAGCGGGAGCAGAGCCGGCAUUCCUGCCCCCGAGCCCUUCCUGCCCCCCCGCCGCCGCUGCGCCCCCGCUGCCUUUCGGCCUCCGCUUGUUUUCUUAGCAGGCGGGUCCCGCGCUUUCCGAGCCCAACAAUUUCCUGCCCGGGCGAACACAUUCCUCUAUUCCCCCA